rnacentral:rRNA from 1 species
GACGAACGCUGGCGGCGUGCCUAAUACAUGCAAGUAGAACGCUGAAGAGAGGAGCUUGCUCUUCUUGGAUGAGUUGCGAACGGGUGAGUAACGCGUAGGUAACCUGCCUUGUAGCGGGGGAUAACUAUUGGAAACGAUAGCUAAUACCGCAUAACAAUGGAUGACACAUGUCAUUUAUUUGAAAGGGGCAAUUGCUCCACUACAAGAUGGACCUGCGUUGUAUUAGCUAGUAGGUGAGGUAACGGCUCACCUAGGCGACGAUACAUAGCCGACCUGAGAGGGUGAUCGGCCACACUGGGACUGAGACACGGCCCAGACUCCUACGGGAGGGCAGCAGUAGGGAAUCUUCGGCAAUGGGGGCAACCCUGACCGAGCAACGCCGCGUGAGUGAAGAAGGUUUUCGGAUCGUAAAGCUCUGUUGUAAGUCAAGAACGAGUGUGAGAGUGGAAAGUUCACACUGUGACGGUAGCUUACCAGAAAGGGACGGCUAACUACGUGCCAGCAGCCGCGGUAAUACGUAGGUCCCGAGCGUUGUCCGGAUUUAUUGGGCGUAAAGCGAGCGCAGGCGGUUUGAUAAGUCUGAAGUUAAAGGCUGUGGCUCAACCAUAGUUCGCUUUGGAAACUGUCAAACUUGAGUGCAGAAGGGGAGAGUGGAAUUCCAUGUGUAGCGGUGAAAUGCGUAGAUAUAUGGAGGAACACCGGUGGCGAAAGCGGCUCUCUGGUCUGUAACUGACGCUGAGGCUCGAAAGCGUGGGGAGCGAACAGGAUUAGAUACCCUGGUAGUCCACGCCGUAAACGAUGAGUGCUAGGUGUUGGAUCCUUUCCGGGAUUCAGUGCCGCAGCUAACGCAUUAAGCACUCCGCCUGGGGAGUACGACCGCAAGGUUGAAACUCAAAGGAAUUGACGGGGGCCCGCACAAGCGGUGGAGCAUGUGGUUUAAUUCGAAGCAACGCGAAGAACCUUACCAGGUCUUGACAUCCCGAUGCUAUUUCUAGAGAUAGAAAGUUACUUCGGUACAUCGGUGACAGGUGGUGCAUGGUUGUCGUCAGCUCGUGUCGUGAGAUGUUGGGUUAAGUCCCGCAACGAGCGCAACCCCUAUUGUUAGUUGCCAUCAUUCAGUUGGGCACUCUAGCGAGACUGCCGGUAAUAAACCGGAGGAAGGUGGGGAUGACGUCAAAUCAUCAUGCCCCUUAUGACCUGGGCUACACACGUGCUACAAUGGUUGGUACAACGAGUUGCGAGUCGGUGACGGCAAGCUAAUCUCUUAAAGCCAAUCUCAGUUCGGAUUGUAGGCUGCAACUCGCCUACAUGAAGUCGGAAUCGCUAGUAAUCGCGGAUCAGCACGCCGCGGUGAAUACGUUCCCGGGCCU